rnacentral:rRNA from 1 species
CGCCAUUUAAAGUGGUACGCGAGCUGGGUUUAGAACGUCGUGAGACAGUUCGGUCCCUAUCUGCCGUGGGCGCUGGAGAAUUGAGGGGGGCUGCUCCUAGUACGAGAGGACCGGAGUGGACGCAUCACUGGUGUUCGGGUUGUCAUGCCAAUGGCACUGCCCGGUAGCUAAAUGCGGAAGAGAUAAGUGCUGAAAGCAUCUAAGCACGAAACUUGCCCCGAGAUGAGUUCUCCCUGAGACUUUAAGUCUCCUGAAGGAACGUUAAAGACGAUGACGUUGAUAGGCCGGGUGUGUAAGCGCAGCGAUGCGUUGAGCUAACCGGUACUAAUGAACCGUGAGGCUUAACCUUACAACGCCGAAG